AUACGGAGGGUGCGAGCGUUAUCCGGAUUUAUUAGGUUUAAAGGGUGUGUAGGCGGGAGCCUAAGUCAGUGGUGAAAUCUCACAGCUUCACUGUGAAACUGCCAUUGAAACUGGGUUUCUUGAGUAUAGUUGAGGUAGGCGGAAUGUGUAAUGUAGCGGUGAAAUGCAUAGAUAUUACACAGAACACCGAUUGCGAAGGCAGCUUACUAAGCUAUUACUGACGCUGAUGCACGAAAGCGUGGGUAGCGAACAGGAUUAGAUACCCCGGUAGUCC
rnacentral:rRNA from 1 species